rnacentral:rRNA from 1 species
AUGCACAGCCUGAUGAACAGCUCGACGAAGGUCACCGGUGCCAACAUGGAAACAGAGGCGCUAGCAAAUCACAUCAAUCCCUUGCCAGUGCAGAGCUCGAUGGAGGCCACCAAUGUCGAUAUGGAAAUAGAGGCGCUAGCAAAUCACAUCCGUCUCACACGAAGAGGAGAGGGGGGGAGUGCGAAUGUGGGGAACAAGAAGACCAAGAAGAAGAUUUUCCGCGUGCCGCGGGAGGAGCUGGAUGACAUACUUUCGUUCCAGCUGCCGCCCGCUUGGCCGUCUCUGGCUAAACGCCGUCCUUCUCUCGUCGGCGAGUUGGAGAAGAUGAAGGACAGCUUUUUGCCCGAGCGGGAGAAGAUGAGAUUACAGUACCGGAUCAUGGGCUACGCCACGUAUGAAGCAGAGGUCACCGAUGAUGAUGAGGAGGAGGAAGACACAUUGGUGGCGAUUCCAGCGGUGGCUUCUUUUCACGGGGAGAAGGAUGAUGCGGCGGCGACAUCUUUUCAGGUGGAGAAGGAUGAUGCAACUGCGACAUCUUUUCAUGGGGAGAAGGAUGACGUAGCAGCUACAUCUUCUCCUUGGAUUAUUCCACGGGGAAGAGGCCGAAGAAGAUUUCGCCCGGGAGUCGUCAAGCAACCAAGCGGCGUUAAGAAAAUAACUUAG